AUCCCAGAACUUUCCAGAGAUGGAUUGGUGCCUUCGGGAACUGUGAGACAGGUGCUGCAUGGCUGUCGUCAGCUCGUGUUGUGAAAUGUUGGGUUAAGUCCCGCAACGAGCGCAACCCUUAUCCUUUGUUGCCAGCGGUUAGGCCGGGAACUCAAAGGAGACUGCCAGUGAUAAACUGGAGGAAGGUGGGGAUGACGUCAAGUCAUCAUGGCCCUUACGACCAGGGCUACACACGUGCUACAAUGGCAUAUACAAAGAGAAGCGACCUCGCGAGAGCAAGCGGACCUCAUAAAGUAUGUCGUAGUCCGGAUUGGAGUCUGCAACUCGACUCCAUGAAGUCGGAAUCGCUAGUAAUCGUAGAUCAGAAUGCUACGGUGAAUACGUUCCCGGGCUGGGUACACACCGAACGUC
rnacentral:rRNA from 1 species